GUAGACAUAGUUUAAUCAAAACAUUAGAUUGUGAUUCUAAAAACAGAGGUUAGAACCCCCUUGUCCACC
rnacentral:tRNA from 1 species